CUUGGCACAACCACGACUUGAACCUGGCUUCACGCACUUGCAACACUUUGUCCUUACCACUAGACCAUCUCGCCUACACUUGCUUCAACUCUUUUUUAUUCUACUUAACUCUUUCUCGUCUCGGGUCGAAUUAAUUAACAACGACGCCCGGCAUUAAAAUGCUCUUGGCACAACCACGACUUGAACCUGGCUUCACGCACUUGCAACAAUUUGUGCUUACCACUAGACCAUCUCGCCUACACUUGCUUUAACUCUUUUUUAUUCUACUUAACUCUUUCUCGUCUCGGGUGGAAUUAAUUAACAACGACGCCUGACAUUAAAAUGCUCUUGGCACAACCACGACUUGAACCUGGCUUCACGCACUUGCAACAAUUUCUCCUUACCACUAGAGCAUCUCGCCUACACUUGCUUUAAUUCUUUUUUAUUCUACUUAACUCUUUCUCGUCUUGGGUGGAAUUAAUUAACAACGACGACUGACAUUAAAAUGCUUUUUGACUACAGCAGGAUUCGAACCUAUAGCUUCACGCACUUGCAACACUUUGCCCGUACCACUAGACCAUCUCGCCUACACUUCUUUAACUUCUUUUUUAUUCUACUUAACUCUUUCUCGUCUCGGGUCGAAUUAAUUAACAACGACGCCCGGCAUUAAAAUGCUCUUGGCACAACCACGACUUGAACCUGGCUUCACGCACUUGCAACAAUUUGUCCUUACCACUAGACCAUCACG
rnacentral:lncRNA from 1 species